ensembl:lncRNA
GUCAAAUAUAUGAACGCAUUAGCAAACAGGACUGGCUCCUGCUGGAGGGAAAACUAUAACAAAAGAAUAUUUGUAGCUUGUUCUGUAAUCAUAAUAGGUAGAAUAGUGUAGUGGUGUAGUUUUAUUAACUCUAUAGUGUAAAAUAUAGUAGGCCUAUUCUGAUUUGGUGUGAGAGAGGGAUAGAGAGAGAGAGAGAGAGAGAGAGAGGUGAAAGGGGUAGCUAUAAGAAUUGUAUCACAUUUUAUGUUGUCAAUGAAAUAUUAUCAUCCUGUUGUUUUUCCUCAUUAUACUACUCUGCUAAAUUGAGGUUUCCUUUCAGAGAGCCAUGUCUUGACUAGACCGUGAAUGUUAUUGGAGUUGAGGACGAUUGUGGUUUUUCCGUAGCUCAAGUGAGAUUCAUUGAUUUCCUCAAGCUCCUUUCAUUGCCUUGACUUGUUUCUCCUCUUGCUUCCCACCCCCAGUAAAUCCUACCUUUUGAACUUUAUUGAUCAUUUGUCUUGGUUUGUCUCUCAAAUCCCCGUUAAUGUAAUGUGGGGCAGACUUGUUCCACCUGUCUCUUCUCUUUGCAGGCCUCGUUUUUCACUCUUUCUCCAUUUCUUUCUUCUUCUGUUAAGGCGCUCUCUUAGAACCUGUCUUUGAGCUUAUUCAAAUGAACUGUGCCUAACAACAGUAGCGGAGAUCAAAGCUAUUAAUUAUUAUCAAGAUCAUUAUAUAUUUCUUAUUGUUGUUACUAUUAUUAUUCGUGUAAAUAUGUUACCCAUAUUUACCACAAAAUCAACUUCUUUUUGCUAAGCAAUGCACUAAUGAAUCUGAAGAGAUUGUUCAUACCUGAGAUACCAUUUGUUAUUGGAUCGAUGCCUGGGGGUUGCUGACUAACGGCAUUGUUCCACAACUAAUGAAUAAAUCCUAGAGGUACAUCUGUGUGUGCUUAAUGUUUGUGGUCAGAUGUCUGGCACACACAAUCACACACACAAAACACACACAAACACAAUCACACACACACACUAGCACACACAUUCACACACACAAACACACCUACCACUGAUGUCAGGAACUUUUAGAGCUGAAGAGAUCAACAUGGCUAAACUAUAUUGAGAUGAAAUCCUGUUUGCACACUGGUGUAGAGAACGAAUAGCAUGACUGGAGACUGACAUACUCAGUAUCUUGGUAAUGCCCCCUGCUAUUGUGUUUUAAUCCAAAGCUCUGCUUAUUUAAAGCCAUAAGAAAUGUAGCAUUUCAAAGUGUGUGUGUGUGUGCGUGUGUGUGUGUGUGUGUGUGUAAUGGUGUUAAUGGGUGUUACUAUGUUUUGCGUGUGUGUGAACUGUGUGUAGUGUGUCGACCAGAAGACUCCACAAGAAUAGUACCAAA